rnacentral:tRNA from 1 species
GUUUUAAUAAUUUAAUAAAAAUAUUGGUCUUGUAAACCGAAAAUAAGCUUAGACUUUUAAAACU